AAAAAAGGCAAAAGGCAAUGGAAUGAACAAAAGAGAAGAAAGAAAGGCAAUGGCUCAUGCUUUUUUUUUUUUUCCCCAAGAUAAAACUACAUCAGGUCAUAGCAUUGGAGGAUGAAGAGGAAAGCAGAAUAUUUAGGGGAAUGGGGGCUCCAGUGACAAAGGGCCUGGAGACGAGGGAAGCACUUUGCCUGCAGCACCCGGGCCACGUGGGAGCCUUGGUUUCGGAGGACGGAGGAAAGGUCAGGGGCUGGGGUCACGGAGCGGACAUCUGACCUUUUGGUCUUUGUUAAAAACUUGUCCCUUGCUGCUCAGGUUCUCCUUUGCAAACCGCCCCGCGCCCAGUCCAGGGAUUUGUGGGGUCGGGGUGGGGGGGAGCCUCACCUGCCACUCCUGAGCGAUGGCAGGGAACGGGGGCGGCGGCCGGGCCUCACCAGGAGGCACCACUGGAUCGAGGGUUAAGGCCGAUGCCAGACAAGGCCCCAUCGCCCCUGCCCCGUCCCCUUGCUCUCUGGGCCGUGGACUAGAGGAACCAUGGAAGCUCAGGGAAGCCCAGAGUCGCCUGGAUUUUCUGCCACAAACAGAAGCGCCCCCUGAGAAUGAAGGCCCGGGAGAAGGAAGCAGAGGUGGGACCGCGAGAGGAUGGGGCCCGGAUGCGGCCCUCCAGCCUCCAGAGCUGGUGACAGAUGCUGCCACCCCAGUGCGGCCGACGGACGGCUCUUGUUUUGAAAGUGGGGGGGGCACGCUUCUUGAAACCCACUCCAUGGAUACGUUUGUGAAUGUUGAUGGUGUAUUCUCUGGUCACUACCUCGUUGAUGGCAGAACGGCCCUUCUUCUUCUCGCCACCCUUCUUUGCGGGAGCCAUUCUGCCAGGCCCUAGCUGGAAAGUGUACUAGCUGUUAUUGUAUUUCUAUGUCAGUCUGUUGAUUCACAUAAAAUUGAAUAAGCAGGUGUACUGCUACACUUCCCACAAAGUACAUUCAAUCAAAAGUCAGAUUAGGAUGGUCUGCAUUUCUCUUUAGAAUUUAAGCCUGCUCCAGUGAGGGUGACAAAACAUGAGAGACCCCUAACUCUGGGAACUGAACAAGGGGUAGUGGUAGCGGAGGUGGUAGGGGGGUUGGGGUGACUGGGUGAAGGGCACUGAGGGGGGCAUUUGGCGGGAUGAACACUGGGUGUUAUGCUAUAUGUUGGCAAAUUGAAAUCCAAUAAUAAAUAAUAAAAAAAGAAAAAAAUAAUUUAAGCCUGCUACUUUUUAAACUGGUUUAUAUAUGAACAGAAUUGCAAGAUGGCAUUCACAAUUAUUUUUUAAUAUUUUAAGAUUCUUUAAUUUUUUAAAAAUUACUUGAAAAAUUUUAUAAGUAUUUUUGUGUUGAAUUUUUAAUCUUAAAAUUAUUGUACUAUUAUUUAAAAUAAAGGAAAACAGUUCCCUUCUUAUCUUUUUUUCAUGUUUCGGGGGCAAUAUUUU
rnacentral:lncRNA from 1 species